GAUUCAAUUCCUUCCGUUAAACCAGGCCUUGGGGACCGCCGGACAGUGCUUGUUGCCCACCGCGGACGACCUCCGCGGUGGUCGCUCGCAUCUGCUUGGCGAAACGUAUGCGUCUUUUGUGGUUUCGGAGGAAUGCACUUCCACCCUGUCGGCAGCGUCGCGACACGUUGGACGACGAUCUCGCGCCCGGGUUUGUGGCAGCCCGUGCGGCAUCCGGUUGGGCCGGAUCCGCGCGGACCCUCGGUGUCCCGAUCGUCUUCCGACGGAAUGGUUGCGAAAAGAGGCGGUCCGCCGAAUUGGAAAAUCACUUUGGUUGUGCGGCGUCCGGCCCGAAUCCGACUCGUGCGGAGAAAUAGGUUUAUCCGGGAAUCCACCGUGUUGGGCACGGCCCCGGCUCCGUCGCGCCGUCGGACUCGGCGUCCUCGGACAGGAUCGUUACUCUCGUCCGCGAUGCAUAACGAUCGGAUGGUCUCCCGACCCGUCUUGAA
rnacentral:rRNA from 1 species